UACAGAGACUGCAAGCGUUAUUCGGAUUCACUGGGCGUAAAGGGUGCGCAGGCGGCCGUGUGUGUGAGGCGUGAAAGCCCGGGGCUCAACCCCGGAAUUGCACCUCAAACUACAUGGCUAGAGCAUUGGAGAGGGAAGCGGAAUUCACGGUGUAGCAGUGAAAUGCGUAGAUAUCGUGAGGAACACCAGAGGCGAAGGCGGCUUCCCUGGACAAUUGCUGACGCUCAGGCCACGAAAGCGUGGGGGAGCAAAAAGGGG
rnacentral:rRNA from 1 species